AUAAUCUUUAUCCCUAGGCUAUCCUGCUUCUACAGGUGACAUGAAAAUUAUUGGCCAAAAUGGAGAUGAGCUCUUGGCAUCGUUUCCUUAUAACAUAUUGUGGGCCUCAACCUACAUACAAAGAUUCAACUGAAAGACUCAGCUGGGUGAAUGUCUGUUAUCCAUCUGCAUAAACAGUGAGAGCUUAAGACUCAAGUGGGUGGUGGCAUGAGGCAGCAUUUUCUCAGUGGAUUAUGAUGGCUGUGUUGAGAAUACACUCUAGGCAACACGGACAAGGGGAAAAUGUUAUAGAAAGACCAGCACGGAAGCUACUGCUCUAAUAAAGACAAGAUAAUGGCAGAGAAAGAUGGUGAUAAAUGGCUGUUGUAUGCACAUAUCUUGAAUAUGGAACUCAUGGGAUAUUCUGAUGGGUAAGCUGUAGGAUGAAAAGAGUCAAGGUUGACUUCAAGGUUUUUGGUCUGAGGAAGUAAAGGACAAACCUGUUUGCUGGAGAGAAAUAUGGUGGGUGAAGCAUGCUUGCAAGAUGAAAGUGGGGGAGACCAGAAGUCUGAGAAGAUGUUAAAUAUUCAGAAAGAGAUGUUACAAAAUCAGUGGGAUAUAAGAGUUUCACAUACAGGGAAGAUGUUAGAAUUGGGGAUGGUGCAACUGAUGUUUGAAGCCAUGAGAAAGGAAUAAUGGGGAGGAACCUCUUUAGAAAAAAAUCACAUUUAUGCAUUAGAAAUGAUGACAUGGUCUUCUAAUUGAGUCUUUGAUGCCCUUUCUAUGUAAAACCAACACUGAGAAUUUAUCACUUCAAACUGUUCUAGUAGAGUGAUGGUAGUGUGCUCUUAAAUGUCUGCUAUCAGGAACUCAAUCCAUUCAUGGCAAGCAUCACAUGUACUUAGAAUAACUAGCAGUAUACAAUCUGUAAUAACGGAACAAAAUCAAGCAAAGGGGCCUGAGUAGAGAGUGAAGAGUCAUUAGCUCCUGUUCCCACCAGCUAAGCUUGAUUUAGUCCAAACGCACAGUCAGUUCUUUGAUGAAUUUUCCUGUUUAUACUUUUUUUGUUUGUUCUUUUUGGCAUGUCAUAAUUUGCCUCAAUUAAAGCAUGGUAACACUUGUAAUAAAGGUAUACGCA
rnacentral:lncRNA from 10 species